GCAUGCAGGAUACUUGCUGCAACCUACUUUAUUACAGUGUCAGAGGGAAGUGCUGUGAAAUGGGCAAGAACUUUAAAAGAACACCGUUUAUUUCUCAGGCAGUAUCAGACAGCAGGAUUAUUUCAUUAUGAAGUUAAUCCAGAGCAUUUGCUGAGGUUCAACUAUAGUCCAAGAAUUCCCUCCCACAGGAGUGUAAUGCAGAAGCUCAGAAGAAGCCCACCCUGAAGAACAGUUUGAGAUUUUUUAACCUUGCAGACACUCAGUGGUGGGAAGGUUGCUGCGUACCAUCCUGUACCAUACAUCCGCUACUGGGAUGCUAUCCCCAGUCAGGAACAUUGCAAGCUCUUUGUUGGUCAUAUUAAAGCUGCUUUGGAGACCAACACUCUGUAUGACACAUUUGCUAAAGAGAGUUGUGUUCAUGCAGUCUGAGCACAGGACCAGACACCACGCAGUCCAUGCAGGGGACCAUUUUGGGUUCUGGCACUCAUUUCCUAUAUACACUCUGAUCAAGUUAUUUGCAGUUUCCCCCAGUUUCAUCAGAUGUAAAUUGCAUUUGUGGUGUGUGCUGACAACUGUUUGUCCUCUGUGGAGGGGAUGAGAUGUUUUGUUCAAUCUCUUACAUAAAAAACACCAUGAACAGGAGGAUAUAGGGCUGAAAUAUGUUUCUUAAAGAAUAUAAUCAAGCUGAUCUAGAUCUGAAUCUGAGGAGAAACUUCUUUUGGCAGUAAAUAUUCUACUUAAUCUAUAAAUAGCUCUUUAGAUUGCCAAAUAAUCUUUGUAACUUAUAACCCUGUUGGCCUGAACAAGAAACAAAAUGUAGUCUUCAGAAUGGAAGAGAAUAAAAUAAAAUGUCAAUGUAACUGACAUGACCGUAGACCCAGAUGGUGAUUUCUGCUUUAUGAUCCACCAAACUAGCUUACCAUGUGGUCAAAAUUUCAUUAAACAUUUCUGCAGCCCU